rnacentral:rRNA from 1 species
UACGGAGGGGGCUAGCGUUGUUCGGAAUUACUGGGCGUAAAGCGCACGUAGGCAGCUUUGUAAGUUAGAGGUGAAAGCCCGGGGCUCAACUCCGGAAUUGCCUUUAAGACUGCAUCGCUAGAAUUGUGGAGAGGUAAGUGGAAUUCCGAGUGUAGAGGUGAAAUUCGUAGAUAUUCGGAAGAACACCGGUGGCGAAGGCGGCCUGCUGGGACGUGGCUGACGCUGAGGCGCGACAGCGUGGGGAGCAAACAGG